CUGGGAAGCUAAGCAAUGGUUUCGAGUGCCAAGAUCAUUAAAUAAAGAUCUAAGACAGCCACACAGGAAAUCGCAUUACUUCAUGGCGUGGAUGUUUCAAUGUUACCGAAAAGAGUGCUCCAAACGCAGGGUCUAUUGAUUCAGAGGUAAUGAGCCACAUGACGAGUGAUGAGAGAUUGUUCACAGAAAUUGACUUUCUUACCUUUGCCUUUUCUUUUUUCUCUCUUUAAUUCUCUAAUUCUGACUCUGUUAUAGUCUGCUGUUAUGUUAUCAAGUUAUUACUGCAUUCCCCCUGUACAUUUAAAUGCCCUGCAUUUAUAUGAAUCCUGCUGAAGUUUUUUUAGCAAGCUGAAAAGUUUGCAUCAUGUUUUAUAAAUCUUUGCUGAUGACACGUACAUGGUUAUUUACUCAUUCAAUGUGAAUUUCAAAUUUAAAGUUAAAAUAGCUAAAUUGGAAAAAUCAUCUUAGUCGGCUAUUCUUUCACGUCAGCAAGCCUGGCCUUAAAUUUGAAAUUCGCUUUGAAUUCUCACUUACGUAAAUAACCCAAACAGAGUUUCUAAUCCCAUAGACCAGGGGUAGGCAACCUUUUAGCAGCACUGUGCCGAUAUAGGAUUGUGAUGUCCCGUAGCGUGCCGGUCCUAUUUUUUUAAAAUUGAGGUGUGUAGGUUGCCGUAUUCUGCUUGUGUUAUUUUUACUGUAAUUGCUUUGUAUCGUUGUAUUUGUGCGUAUAUGAGCUAUUAUAUUGUAUAUGUUCAUGUUCGUGUAUGAUACAUAUGAAUGUGGGCUGUGUAUGGGGGCUGCUUGUGGAAUUGUGUGUGUGGAUGGAUAUGUCACAUUGUGUGCUUGGUAGUGUGUGAGACUGCACAUGGGGUUGUGUGCAUGUAUGUGGAUUGUUAGCGGGUUACAUUUGUGCGGAUUGUAUGUAUGUUUGUUUGUGGGCUGUUCGUAUUAUUUGUAUGAGGGGAGGGUUUUUGUGCAUUUCUGUGUAAAUCUAGCACAGGCUUUCCUGGGUUCCAGUGGGGACCAGGCUGGCCAGGUACAGGUCAAGGACAGGAGCUAAAACAGCAGCUGCAGGCUGCUCUACUCCUGUGUGUAUUCCCAUUCACAAGUGCUGGAAUGAAGUGCUCUGAGUUCACUUCCUCUACGUUCUGCAAUGCAUAAAUUGAGGAUUGUUCUUCACCACCUUUUCGUAUUAGCAGAUAUCUGAAGAUUCACUGGGACUCCUGAUUUGGAGUCCCAGUGAAGUGCCUUGAGUGCCGUGCGUGACACUAGUGCCGUAGGUUGCCUACCCCUGAUCUAGACUGAUAUUUAGGCUAUUUCACUUUCUUAGUAUAUGCUUUUACACUCAUAAUCGUUUUUUGUUUCCUGUACUUUUAGACUCUGUUACAUUAUUUUUGCUAAUUAAUCUUUGUACGAUGUUCGUUUAUUUUAUUAGUUCCUUGAGUCUUAUUUGAAUAAAUAAAGUUGCAGACCUCUGCAGUUUUCUCUUAUUACAAUGUUCUUCUACUAUUUCAUUUCUUUACUCUUGUUCAGAAUUUUCCCUUAUACUAGUUUUUAUGCAAAGAUCAUUUCUUCUACUGAGAAUAUGUCUCCUUUCACCAAUCACUGGCCAUUACAUCUUUUAAUGAAUGUCUUUCUCAGCUGGCUAAAUAUUGUAUAUAUGCCAUGUGUACAUACAUACAUACAGAAAAAUGUGAACUCCGUUUAAUCCAAUUGGUUUUAGGGAUCAUCUUUAUACAUACAUGCAUAAUUUCUAACUUCGGCAGCCAGAAAAGCCGGAGCGGGGUAAAUGUGGUGGCACAGUGAUGUGAUUGCAUUACUGGUUCUACCCUAAAGGGUGCAGGUCCACCUGAAUUACUGGCUGUCAUCAUUAAGUUUAUUCCUCCACAUUUACCGAUAUGCCUAAAGAGAUCUUAGGAUGUUAGAGACACCGUAUUGGCAUAUCUGUAAUAGGAACUGCCAUGUCAUACUGUGCAGUACAAUUUUUACUGCUCAGAGCGAUAUCUUACUGUGAAAUAUAGGACUCAGAAACAUCCUCUGUCUCUUUAAACAACAGUCAAAGAAACAAUCCUUAAUUUUACUUUUACCGAACAUUUUUUUUUUUUACCAUUUAUUUUCUCAGAAAAAGAUUAAACCAAAUGCAUUAUAAUAUUAUCAAUUUCAUAAGAUUAUAAAAAAUGUAAUGCUACCUACAGUUGGUAUAAUCGCAGCCGAUUAUGAUCUUCCUAAUGAUAUAAGGUAAGAAAGGAAAAAUUCAUAGAAUGUCGAAAACAAGAAUUCAGCAGAAAGGAUUUUUUGUACCUCUACCCAGUUGUUUUACUAAGUCUCCUGAACAUAGCUAUAUUAUAAAUUCUCCGCAAAUAAAAAAAAGUGAUAUUCAAUGUGUCACAAUAGAUUUAGGCAAUGAAAAAAAAAUUGCAUUCGCACCAAAAUCACAGCUCUAAAAUGAAUUAUGAUCCAAUAAAGUUGAAACUAAAAUGUUGAAAACAAUACAGUGACAUUAAGUGGAGACCGGAUGAACAAAGUGCUAGCUGCGGUGAAAAAUUAUGCUUUGAAAAUCAGUUAUGCUCAUCUAUAAAAAGAGCUAUGUUUACUCACAUUUUACAUCACAACAAGCAGACAGAUUUGUGCGUUUGCUUAUAAGAAAGUAGAGCAUCUUUGGGGUUUAUUCACUAAAGCUGAUUUGGAAAUUUAAGGUUAGAAUAACUGAUUUGUUAAAACAAAAAUCUUCAAUCAGUUAUUGUCACAUUUAAGUUAGUUUUGUGCUACAUUUUGUAGUUCUGUUUAAUGAAUAAUCCAUUAUAUCUUUAGCUACUUUUUCAUGUAGAAAGUGUUUUAACACAAAUGUUGUAAACAGAGGUGUAACUAGAAACCACAGGACCCCGGUGCGAAAAUUGCCCUGGGGCCCCCCCAUACAUCUACCUCCCACCCUAUACGUCUAUGCCCCCCCCCACACACACACACAUACACAUGCAGACACUUACACAUACACACAGAGACCCAUACAUACAGACACACAUAUAUACACACACACAGAGACAUGUAGAGACACACAUACAUACAGACACCGACAUACAUACACACAUACAUACAGGCACACACAUGCACUAACAGAAACACACAUUCACUCAUAUACACACACUCAGACAUAUACACACGUACACUCACAGACACAUACACACAGACACACUCACAGACACACUCACAUACACACACAUAUACGUACACACACUCACAGACACACACACACAUACACUUACAGACACACACAAAUUAUUAACAUUAAAUGUCCAUUAAAAUGUCCACCCAGCCUCCCUACCUGGAGAGGUGGCAUGGAUCUGUCCCUGGGGUCCAGUGGGGCUUCAGUGCGGCGGGCGGCUGAGUUCCUGUCAGAGGCGGCGAGGGAGCUGUGUUCUCUCUUAUCUGCUCCCUCGCGGGCUGUCUACUGAUGCAGGGAGCCAGAAUAUGAUGUCAUAUUCCGGCUCCUGGCAUCAGCAAAUGGUGCACAAGGAAGCAGAUUAGAGAGAACACAGCUCCCUCGCUGCCUCUGGCAGGGAGGAAAUUGACCCCCAGGCCGCCCUAAAUUCUUUUAAAACCAGUCGCUACAGGGCCGGUCCUAAUGCUGCAGCCACCUUAGCGCUCUGUUAAGAGCCUCAGGCGGCUGCAGCUGCUUCUCUCCUCCCCUCCUCUGUAGCGUUGGCGAGCUCCUCUACGGUCCGCGGUGCCCGGCCGGAGUGAUAGGAAGGUGCACACUCAGUGUGCACUUCCUGUCAGUCCGGCCGAUUACAGGAAACAAACAGAAAGAAGAAGGGGUGGGGUAAGAAGAAGGGGUGGGGUAAGAACAAGAGGGAGGGUAAGAACAAGAGGGGGGUAAGAACAAGAGGGGGGUAAGAAGUAGAAGGGGUAAGAAGAAGAAGGGGUGAAGUAAGAAGCAGAAGGAGCGGUAAGAAGAACAGGUGGGGGGAGUAAGAAGAACAGGUGGUGGGAGUAAGAAGAACAAGGAGGGGUAAGAAAAAUGGGGUAAGAAGAACAAGGGCAAAGAACGGGGUAAGAAGAACGGGGGUAAGAAGAACAAGGGGAAGUAAGAAGAACAAGGAAGAAGAACACAGGAGGAGGGGGGCAGAGUAAGGGUGAGGAGAAGGGGAGAUGAGGAGAACGGGGGGGACUGAGAAGAACACAGGGAGGGUUGAUGGUGAGGAGAACACAGGGAGAAGAGGGGGUAAGAAGAACACAGGGAUGGGGGUGAGGAGAAGGGGAGAUGAGAACACAGGGAGGGGGAGGUGAGAAGAACACAGGUGGGGGGAGGUGAGAAGAACACCGGGGGUGAGUGAGAAGAACACAGGGAGGGUGGAGGGGGGGAUGAGAAGAGCCCAGGGAGGGUGGGUGAGUGUGAGAAGAGACCGCUAAGGAAAGGGUGGGGCAGAGCUCUAAGGGACAGAACGGACAGCUCUAUAGGACAGGGGGCAAGGCAGGGAGCUCUUUCACACUACGCGCACAUACACACACAAUACAUCCCUAUACAUACACAGAAACACACAAUGCAUCCCUACACACACAGAAACACAACAUGCUUCCCUUACACACAGAGAAAUCGACAAUGCAUCCAUUACACACACACACACACAAUGCAACCCUUACACACAAAGACAAUGCAUCCUUUGCACACAUACACAGAAACACACAAUGCAAACCCUUACACACACAUGCAAACACACACACUGCUUUUCUUACAUACACACAGAAACACAAUGCAUCUCUUACACACACUCAAUGCACGCACAUACAGACACACACCUUGCAUCCCUUAUGCAUACAAACACAGAUUCACACAAUGCAUCCCUUAAACACAACCAGAAACACACAAUACAAUACACACUGCUUCCACUACACACAAACACACUGCAUCACAUACACAAACUGGUAUCCCUAUACACUACAUACCAUAAGCACACAUAUUAUAUCCUCUACAAUAACACAAAACACAUCCCCUACACACUCCACUCCCUGUGAGCAAACACAUCGGUGGGUGGAACAUAUAGGGGGACUCAUGAGUGGGCCUUAUGGGCAUACUCACCAUCAGGCCCUGGGGCUCAGACCUUGAGGUGUGUAAGGGGCCCCAAAAAAAUGGAGCUGCUUCCAAUUCUCCCAGAACAUUGAAUUUUGUGACCACAGUUGCAAACAGCCUCCAGAGAUCCUGUUCUACACCAGACCAGUGGAGCCAAACUGCAGCCCAUCAUCAUCCUCAUCUGGUUGUAAGUAGGCAAUCUAGUAUAUUAUUAGUGACACUGAUCUAUAAUUUACCUCACAUUAAAGGGACACUAUAGUCCCCAGAACCACUUCAGCUUAAUGAAGUGGUUCUGGUGUCUAUAGCCGGUCCCUGCAGGCUUUUUAAUGUAAACACACACUGUGUGCAGCACUGGCGUUAGUUCAUAUGGCAGAUCAUAUGGGUGGGGCAUUGUGAUGUCACAUGGGGGGCGACAAAUUUUUCUUUUGCCUAGGGCGGCAAAAGUCCUUGCACCGGCUCUGAUCCUGGGCAGGUGCACAAGUCUACUGGUGACCCACAGGAGGGGAGUGCACUGAUUGCACUGCACUCUCCUCCUGCCCAGACCCGUCUUUACCGCAGUGCAAGUGCCCUCUGCCCCUAAUUUACAGUGGCUCACACUCACAGCAAGCAGUGCCUGGAGCCCUUUGCAGAGACGGGAACAAAGAUUUUCUGCAGCAGCUGGCCGUCCUGCAAGCAUUACAUUAACCAGCUGUUCUCCAUGCAGCCACAGGUGCCGCUGUGCUGGGAGAUUGUGAUUACUCUUCACUUCCUCCCAGCCUACAGAGCAGCGCAUUGGGGGAGAGAGAGGAGGAGGCAUGAUUUAAUCUUACAACAAAUCCAGUAAGCACAUCUUUAUAAAUUUGGGGGGAUCAGCUUUGUUUGCACAGUUUAUUGGUGUUUACUCUGAUGUCUGUAUUAAUAUUGAGGGAUGUCUAAGUAGUAACAUCAGUGUGUGUCAACAGAGCCAGCCGUUUGGGUGUGCAAGCUGUGCGGUCACGCAGGGUGCCAUGACAACAGAGGCGCCCGGCGGCCAACACAGCUCACAAGUUGGAGACACCAGCAUAUUCAAUUUAAACGAUUCGCUGGUGGUCCACUGGUGCGCACCAGCAGUAGUUGCAGUCAGAUUAUAUCCUCUCCCUUGUGGUUCCGGCGCUCAGUUAGUGAGUCAGAGCACAGGCUCAGAGAUUCUCAGCCUGCGCUCUGACAACAUUGAAAGUCAGAGCCGUGAAGGAGCGGGUAUUAGCAUAACAUCAAUAUCCGUUCUAAAACCAGGAAAAGGUGGGCAUGGAUGGUGAACUGAUUUGGUAGUGCAAUGGGCCACUUGACUGGUUUUGCCCCCCAGGCCUAAGGCUGCCAGCCCUCCCCUGCCAGCAGACUACCUCUUGGGCCCCCCAUGACAGGAGGAACAUGGGGGCAGUAUCUAGGCGGCCCAUGGUCACAGGGGUCGUGGCUGCGGUCGGGCCCCCUGCAGUGAGGGGCCCGGUCGCAGCUGUGACCCCGGCAACCGUGGUAGGUACGACACUGGUUGUAAACAGAUAUUUUAUAGCAUUAAUAAAUAUAUUCCCUGCCUUGUUAUUCUGUUUUAGAUCGUCCUUUAAGUUUGAUAUAUUAUCUUCAUUGGAUCCUCUAAGUCGGAAGGUGAUGAUACUAUGAUUUUUGUCUGUUUCUCUACUGUGAAACCCCAAAUUCUUACAUUCUACUUCUAUUAGUUUGUACUUUAUAAUUAUAUAGCGUACUAUGGUAUUAAGCUGCAUGCUGACAUUACAGAUUCUGUCAUGCAUUAGGGAGUUAUUCUGCAUGCUUGCAUUACAACUGAUUAUGUGCAUUAGGGAGUUGUAUUCUGCAAACUGCGCAAUACAAAGUUACCACGCAUUCUACUGCCACAACAGAUAUUGCUUAUUACAGCGUGAUGACACCUCAUGAGAUUAUUCCUUACUGUCCACAUUACGGAUUUAUGUUUGUUUUUUCAACGUAUAAAAUAUGGAAUUAUAAAGCUUGUUUGCAUUGAAACAAAUAUUUUCACACUAAAUAAUGCCUUAGUUGACAUGGCAUUGAAAAAAAAAAAAACCUAGUGUGUCUUAGGAAAACUAGCUGCAUGUAUUUUAGCACAUUUUAUAAUUGUGUUAGAAAAGAGAUCCAUGAUUGAACUGUUCAAUUGGGGACUAUUGCAAGAGGUUGCCAUAUUAAAGGCAAAUUCAACCAAUCCCAGAGAUGUUUAUCAGUCUUAAGAAAACCCACAUCUGGUUAGAGGUUUCCGAUUGGCUAUGAUGAUGCAAUGCAGCUUAAAAGAAAAUGAUCACCAAAUGUGUUUCAAGUACUUCUAAGAGCGGUUCCAUGAUCCAGCAGUCUUUUAUAAAAUAAGCUAUAUUUCCUCAUUAAUCCUUGAGAUCAGCCAUUAUCUGCCCCAGAGCAUUCUGGAAUUCUUUCAGAUUAUCCCUCUUUUGUUUUAUUCUCUCAGAAGCAUCGUUAAAUCUUAAACCCAGGUAAUUUUGUUGCUACACUUUAAACACAAAAUUCAUCCUCAAAGUAACUUUUCACGAGCCCAAAAAAGAAUAGGAAGGCAGUGUAUUUAUUGGGUUAAAGGGACACUGUAAAAACUGUAUUCCUAGACCCUAUUCUCGAAAGUGAUUCUCCGCUCCCCCACCCCCGUGUUUAGACAAUUACCUCUUUUCUCUGUGCUGGCUCCAUCUUCACCUCCUCCAACAUCCGCAAUCGAAGGGAACCUAGUGCGUAUGAGUGGCGAGUGCCGCUCAUGCAUCAGGCCUUCCUCUUAGGAAUGCAUUGAUUCAAUGCUUUCCUAUGGAGGAGUUCAAGACUCUGGACAUAAUCAUGCAAAGACAGCAUGGUGAAGUAGUUCUCGUGAGAUUAAGUUGUCUGGUUGCCUAUAAUGUCCCUUGGUCAAAAACAAACUAACACAAAAAAAAAAUGUCCAAUGCUAUUUAAUAUAACAAUAAUAAUUGGAGCUUUUUUUCACAAGGACUUUAAAAAUGUACGUGUUGAUUGAACUAGUUGGUGCAUGUUUAAAAAUAUUCUUAGUAUCAUUUAUUUAUUUAUAUAUUGCCAAAAAAUGUGUAGCUACAGACAUUAAGUGAAAAAAUCAGUUGGAAAACUAGGUAGAAUUUCAUGACUGAAAAUAUAUUCUUUAGGGACUUUUUCAUGGCUUUGUUAAAUUAGCCCAGAGUUUGUGUGUAACCCAUAUUUUGUUUGGAAAAAAGUAUUUUAUUAAGUGCAAGUUUACUUAUUCUCAUCCUUUACCUGGAUAAAAUGUUCUACUCCCGUUCCAGCAGGAACAGCUCCUGGAAUAGGGGAUUACUAAAAUAAUGCUAGCAAGAGGUAGAUAUGGCAGUGUUAGUGACUUUUUACAAUUUUACUUCAAUUUGAACUGUAUGCAAGAAAGAAAGGGAUAUUUACUGAAGACGGAAUUGUUGGUAUUUCAAAGUAAAUUUAAAUUUUAUCUGAAAUUUUAGGCCAGAUAGCCAAACUGAGUACAUAGCUUACUUGGAGAUUUGUUCCCCAUUUCAGCAAUUUGGUUGUAAGCAUUUGAAUCCAAUUUGAAUUCUUGAUGAUUCACACUUUAUUGAGUAGCCCUGUGUAAGUGGCCAUAGUAUUUGUAUUAUUAGAAUAGUUGUACAGCGCUACAGAAUGUGAUGGCGCUAUAUAUAUAUAUAAUAAAACAAUAAUAAUAAUAAUAAUACCAGAGUUUACAUUUACAUUAAUUGGUACCUAAGAGAUAACUUGAUGCUGUGGCACAAAUAUUCUCAUUAUUGCAAUGACUACACUUGCUCGCCGCUUCCUACUUUUUUCUCUAGAAAUUUUCAUAGAUACUGUCCACCUCGACAAAUGACACCAAUCUUCCUUCUGUAGUGAUAUACUCCUAAUCUAGCAGACACAGCUCUAAUUUUGGCCACCCAGUGGUGCCAGAACUCUCAACGCCCAGCCAAAGGAAGAUCAAGGGACCAGAUCUGAUUGGCUGGAACUCCUCACUAAAUCGGAGAGCAGCCCCGGCCUGGCAACACGUCAGCCCGGCAGCGAUGGGACAUAAUACGUAAUAUAUAGUGCAGGGCACUUUUUGAGCUGGAGACAGCUGGUGGAAUGAUGUUUCUGAAGACACAAUGGUUGUAGCACCUUGUCUGGAGAGGAUUCAGCGGGGGAUUGACCCUUACCAGCACAUACAGAGUGGCACCAAGGAGGGAACUUUUUUCCGUUAAUCACCCCCUGGAGGGUGAAUACACAUUUGAUACUGUGUAAAUACUGUUAUUGUGUUCCUAUAAAGUAUAUUUGUUUCACCGUUCAUCAAGUCUCAACUGAAGUCUGAGUUAGCUGCUAUAGAGAUGCUCUAAUCAAGCAAAGACAAGUGGAGAUAUUAAGACUGAGUACCCAGCUCAGCUACAAAUACUUAAACAGACACACCAUAGAGGAACUAAUAUGUGGAAAAAGUAAAAAAUAUACCCUCCUUUGAAGUUCAUGCAUGUGCUGCAAAUCCCCAAGGAUUCAACGUCUUCCAGUAAGCUAUGAUUAGCCGAUACCCUUUGAUUUAUCCAAGUCUUAAAGGAACUCUCUUCACUGGAAACAACUUAUCGUAAUGAAGUGGUAUUGAUUGGUGGAGUUCCUAGGUACCAUCAUCUUUUUUGAACAAUUUGACACCAAAGUUGAGUCCUGGGUGGCCACCUGCAUUGUCUACCCUCUCCUCUGCUCAACUGCCAUAAUGAGCAGAGAUUGUUGCUGUAGGAAACGUGAUAGGCUGAGAGCAUAAAGUGAUAUUUUCAUGCUAUAAUUGACCAUCCAUUGAAGGUAACAGUACAUAUUGGGUUCCUGGAGAAAAUAUUUGAUAAUGGGGCUUUGACAGAGGCUUUUUUUCUAUCAAGAAGCUUGAAAAAUAGUUUAAACAAAAACACAGGGCGCCCAAAGAUGUCUUGUACCAUAACUAAUGUUGGCCUUAAUAAGCUUUUCAAAUAAUUUUAUAUUUUUGGAUAGACUUAAAAUGUUUUAAUAUAUAUAUGUUUUUAUAUGUAAUAUAUUUUUUAGUUUUAAAUAUUUAAAAAAUAUAUAUUUUAAAAAUGUAUCCAAAAAUAUUAAAUCAUUAGAAAAGAUUAUCCCAAAAAAUUUAAUCGAGGUCAUAAUAUACUAAAAGGAUCAUGGUUCUUAGCGUGUUCCUUUAAGUUCUAUGGGGAGUCACAAAGGAGAGUUUUAAUAGAAAAUGAGUUCUUCAUCGUUAAAUGAUUAAGAACCUGGACAUGUUGUGUAGCAAAGCUACUGAGAGAUGCUGCAUGGUAAAAAUAAAUCAGAGUUUGUCUACACUUGCUGCAAGGCCAAGUUGCACCUGUCCGUGGCUCUACAAUUGCCAAACAGAUGGCAGAAAACACUAGGUGUGACCCCAUUUUUAAAUUGAAAUUUGCAUGAUAGUUAAAAUGUUACAUUGUCUAGAGAACUUCACUCUGUGUGAACCAAUCACUUUCCCAAUUGUAGGAUUGAUAGAACAAGUUAUUGCUUUCAUUCAUAGCUCAAAUGUCACUAAAUGAAAUUAUUUCAUGGAUUGAUUAAAUUAUCGAUAAAAUCACCUUAAUGUAAAAAACUAAGAUCAACAGAGCAUAUGGAUGACUAGCUUGGCAAAUUAAAUAUUCAUCCUAAAGACAGAUAAUCUAAAACAAUUAGAAUUAUAAUAAUUGCAUACAAACUAAAACCGACUAGACCUUUUUUAAGAUGCAAAUAGUAACAUAGACAUUUUAUUAUUACUUUUGAGAAAAUAUAACAUUUUUCAGAAACUAUAGGACUCGUAAAUUGCAAAAAAUCGAAUUUGUCCAAAAAUAUUUUUUUAAUUAGUACGGUAACAAAAGGCUUUCAGUUUAUAAAUUACCUUCAUAGUGGCAACUUUUAUGGGUGUGGGUGGUGUUAAGAGGCAUUACUUUUAUCUGUAUUUUCAGUCUAGUGUAGACAAAUAGUGAUUUUUAACCCCUCUUACCCCCUGAAGCAAAUCAUGUGCAUGCCUCAGAAUGGUGGGGUUCGUAACAGCUACUAUAUAUGGUGAAACUCUACAGACAGCAGAAAUCCAUGAUCCCAUCUAUACACCACCUCUUUAAUACAAUAAUAAUUAUAGAAAUAUCAGUAACAUGGGCACAUUAUAGUUUUAUAUUCGAAUAAAAGGGGCUCUAACCGAGACUAAUUUUAAAUAUAUCCUGGUGAAAGAUUAUUUUUCGUCGUCAUCAUUGUAUAUAUACAGUAAAACAAGUGUUUUUUUGUUUUUUUCUGGAGGGAAAUCACAGCAUGUGACUCCUGACAGCCAUCAGAUUUAAUUAAAAUGAGACUGAAAGAAACAUCUUGAAAUGCCCAUUGUUGGUCAAGGAUUCUAGAUCCAAAUCCUGCAGGUAUUGUCCAUAUUGGAAGGAGGAGUAAUGUAUCAGUUGAAAUAACAAGGAGAGAUACAUACUGCCACAUCUCUAUGCCCAAAUACUUACUAUGGAGAGAGGGGCACUAGGAGAGAACUUUGACUGGGCUUCAGCUGGGCUCAGUGGCACAGAGAGCAUGCUGGGAAUGUCAACCAGUUUAGGCAACUGUGACUGAAAGAAACUGAGUCCCUGCUUAUCUAUUUCUCUAGGGGACAUUAACGGCAGUGACAUGGUGAUGGGAAACAAACAUGUGGGUGGAUGUACUACAUCUGUAUCUACUGUCUUUCCCUGAAAAUAAGAUAGGGUCUUAUAUUAAUUUUUUCCCCUCGAAACACGCACUAGGGCCUAUUUUCGGGGGAUGUCUAAUUUUGGGGGAAAAUGGUAGCAAACAUGUGCUAGAAAGCAGGUCUACAUUUAGGGGAAUUAUCCUGAACAUAGAUAAUUUCACUAGGGCAUGGAAUCCAGCGAAUCUAUGUUUGGGGAAACUUUCCCAAACAUAGAUCAUCUUACUCGCUAAUGGAAUCCAGCCAAUCUAUAAAAUUCCCAGAACAUAGAUUAGAGAACUAGCAACUAGACACUAGGGCUUAUUUUUGAGGGAUGUCUUAUUUUCAGGGAAACAGAGUAUGUUAUCACUAUGUACUCACUGUGUGCCCACUAUGGACAGAGGCUGCAGACUGUUUCCUCAAUAUGUGUAUGAUGCGCAGUGUUUGUGUCCUGCUCUCCACUUGCCUAAAGGGAAUAAUAUCCCCAUAUAUAAGAAGUAAACCUUGGAAGAGGACCUUAAUUAACUGAUGUUGUUGCAGUUCAUAAGAUUCUAAAAUGGGUAGCCUCUCAAAAACAACCUAACCUGAUAAAUAACCAGCACCUUGGAGUCAGAAAACAUACUGAAAAUUUCAGUGAGUGCACUACGGGUAUAUAAUAAAUAGUGAAUUAUUAUAGCAGAGUCUCCUUCUAAAAAUUGUGAAGCAUCAUUUGUUUUAUAUUUACUAUUAGCUUACAGAUUAAGUGAUGCAAACUUUUGAUAUAAGGAUGCGUAGAAAUGUACAGGAUGCAUGUUUUAUGGAAACCGAAGGUAAUCAGCAUUCUGCAGACAUUUAGAAUUGCAUCCAACAGUGUGCAGGCAUCGUGUCACUGUGUUUUUUAUUAAAAAUCCAGACUGUUAAACAUACUCAGCCUAGACAGACAUUAAUCAGACAGUAUAUCCCAGCAGUGAUCUUUAGCCUGGUGAAAUUCUGUCUAAAAAGGAAGCAUUACGGAAUCUUGCAUGCUGUACAGACGAAAAGAAUGUAAUGAAGUUUGUGCUGUAGACAGAUUGCGAUACAAUGUGAAAGAUCAAGGUUAUUUGUGCAUUUGAAAUAAUUAAAAUAACUGGAGUUUUAUCUAACUUCUUCCUUCUAGAGAUUAUCAAUAUUAUUAUGUAUGUAUGUGUAUAUUUAUGUGUGUAUAUAUACACAUACAUAUGGAACCAGGAAGGUUGCGCUCGUCUAAGCUCGCAUACAUUAUAAGGGUAUUGCUCAGACCAAUUGAUAAAUCACACAGAAUCCAUCACUGUGGCAAAACUAGGGGGGAUGCUGUGGGUGCAAGUGGCAAUGGUGCUACAUCAAGAGGUGUGCCACCACCAGAGACGAAUGCCCAUAAUAUCUAGAUCUCUGAUUGUCCCCCCCUCCUUGAAAUGGCAGGGAGAUCAAACGAGCUCCCUAUCGGCUCUUUAGAAGUUGACUCCCUUGUGGUCUGCGAUGCAGUCACACUACUUCUCAGUUCCAACACUCUGUGAGAGAGUCAGAGGGCGGGUGAGGGUUUCCCAUCUUGUGCUCUGAUGUUGUCAAAGAGCACUAUACCAGGAGGAUUGCAGCUGCACCAGCAUCCCACUGGAACACCAAAAAAAAAUUAAAAAUAAAUCUAUCCAUACCUUUAGUAUAGGACAGGAUUCUUUGGCCGUAUAGUCAGUCUCCAUGAUCUUCACUGCUUGAGACAGGCAUCAUCUGUGCUCAUUUGCAUUUAAAGCAGGGGACUCUGGGAUAGUUACGGAAACAUGAUUUAUUGAGUUUCUAUGCCCACUAGUGACUUCUAUAAAUCCAACUUAUACAGGAUAUAAACAAUUUAUAUAUUAAAUCCAGUGUUUAGUGAAUAAAUACCACACUGCUGUAUAGCAAUAAAUGUUUUAGCUACAAAUGAAAAGAACACUGUCAUAAAUUUGCAUUAUUAUUAAACAUACGACAACUAAUUAAGUAACAAUGUGAAAUGUCAGCAACCAGUUGCUGGGGUCAGCAAGGUAUUGUCAUAAAUAAAAAGUGGUAUUAAUUAAUGGGAUGUAAAUAUAAUCUAACCGCUUCACAUUGAAUAUGCAGUGCUAUUUUUCUCAGUUGUUUAAAAAAAAAAAAAAAAAGAUAUGGAAUUAAAAAACAUGCAAAGGCGGGCUAGGCAAUUCAAAAAAGGAAUGUAAGAUUUGCCAUGAAGAUAUGCUAGAAAAAUAACUUGGUUUCUUUAAGUAACAAACAACAAUCUCAUAGGGGAUAUGUUAGCAUUACACAAAUAUAUACGGAGACAGUCUAAACAGCUCUCUGUUACUUAUUCACUAACGGAACUGUACGAAGGAAGAGAGGUCACCUAUUUUUGAAGAAAGGACAAGAGUUAUUUUCAGCCUAUAAUUACUACAUAAAUAUGUCCUUUUAACCAGCAUAAAAUAAUUAAUAUAUUAUAUUUUGUAACGUAUACACAUAAGUAAAUAAACCCCUCUUUUUCAUUGGCUCUCACGGCCCACCUUUACUCUAGGAGAUUUUCAGACCUUCAAGUUGUGCAUUGUCAGAGUACAAAAGUGCUUCCUGCUAAAGUGAUAUAAAGAUGGCUGCCCCGUUUAGCAAAAACUUGCAUUUAAAAGCUAUUAAAUAAAGCGUAUUCAUUACAAAAUAAUGCACAACUAGGCUAUAUUACUAGGCUAUAUUACAUGUAACUUUUUAUUUUCAAUAAACAUUGAUGACGGUUAACAUUAUAGAAAAAACAGAAGAAAUUAUAAACUGCGCCUAAAGUAAUAUUAACACUUGAGUGUAAUUAAAAAAAAAAAAAAUAUAUAUAUAUAUGUAUCAGAGGGGGCCUUCUUUUAUACAUACUUUAGGAGCGAUUUAUCAUUUUUAUUUUUUUAUUUUUUUUAUAUUGUUUGUCACAAGGUUGGGGAGUCCUUGUAAGAAUCACUGCUUCCUCAUUUCAUUAAUAGUGAGCACCUAAUCCUCUUCUAGUUAUCUAUUAUCCUAAACAUGUGUUAUUGGAUUGAGUUCUGGGUUUUUUGGAAGACACCAGAGUAAACGGAGGUCACUGUUAUGUUCAUAAAACUUGCUUAAAAUGAUGCAUUGUUAAAAGUUGCCUGAUAUAUCUCGGGAAGCAUUUAUUUAAAAAUGUGUAGGAGCACAUGGCCAGCAGCAAUGCUUGAAGGAACACUCCAGAUCUCUAAAGCACUUUAGCUUGCUGAAAAGCCUUAUAUGUGAAGAGUGUGUCCUCUUUCUUUCAUUUUGCAAAAAGUGUAGAUUUCAAUAGAAAUUGACACUUUUAUAAAUGAACCUGGUUUUUCACCCCCUUGGUUUUCAGUCUGACAGCAGUUCUUGUUACUUCCUGGUUUGGAUCGCUCAGAACAUCUGCCUUACAAACACUUCUCUACUGUGAUUGGACAGCCACAGAAAGUCUGGGCAGGAUUAGAAGGGGAGGACAUGCAAAGACAGUAAACAAGAGAACUGCAGUUAUUGCAAGCCAGUGGCGUCGCUAGGUGGGGGCCAGAGGGGGCCAUGGCCCCCCCUACAUCAUGCUGUGCCCUCCCUUGGGCCCCCCCAAAUGCCGGUAACUUGCUGGCCAUGUGUUUCAAUUAUAUUCCCUCGGACUGUAAAAAUCUGUGACAGCCCGAGGUAAUGCAGUGCUGGGGGCUGUCUGUGGCUCGAGGGAGCACUGACAGGCUCCCCGGCACAGGCCCUGCCCCCAAAUAAGUAAUUGAUAGCUGUGCUGCAAAAUGUCCUUGGAAUUUUUUUUCCAAAUGUUGGCAACUAUGGCACUGUAUCAAGGGUAAUGUCAUCAUUAUUUUCCACCAGGGAUUAUUAAAAAAAACAAAACGCAUUGUGUCGGGGCUUAACAUGCGACAGGGGCGGGGUCAAACUGUGGCAAGUGUGGGGUUAAAUGUGCCCCCCUACUUUUGUCCCUGGCCCUCCAUGUGCCCUCCCUAAGAAUGAAUCCUAGAGACGCCACUGUUGCAAGCUGGUUUAGAUAUAACUCCAAUUAAAAAGUCCAUAAUUAAAUGCGUGCAAGUUUUCAUUUAUCUACUAAACAGUGAUUUUAAUUUAUUUUAUAUUUAGGCAAUAGGAGUGUCCCUUUAUGUUAGAUGUGGCAUUCAGAGAAUAAACAGCUAGUAUCAAGGAACCUGGUUUAAGGUACAUUAUACUAACAGCAACUUGUACCAUCGACAUUUAAAGUAAAGCAUGCAAAAAAUAAGGUUGUACAUAAUUUUACUGACUCUUUUCAGUGGUAGAAAUAAUACUGUACAAUUUGCACCAUAAAAUGUAACAUUUCUCUUAUUUUUUUUCAAUGUUGUUUGUUUUUAUUUGGGUACUUAUUUCUGGGCUUUUUUAUUUUUAAAAGAACACUCCAAGUACCAUAACCACAAAAGAGUGCUCUGCUGGAUGCUGUUCCCUGCUUUUACUACAUCCAACAGAUAACUGGAUGUUCCUGCAUAGGAGCUUCUGUUAGCACUCCUGAGCUAAACCCAACAAUACAGGGCCUACAGAGUUUUACUACUUACAGCUUGGGAACUCCUGGCAACAUAACCACUAGAGCACAUUUGUGUGGUUAUGGUGUAGUGGUUAUGUUAGUUGGAGUGUUUCUUUAUGUGCGCUGGCUAAGUGUAAUGUUGAUAUACAAUACAAACACAAUAGGUGGAGCAAAUAGUAUACUUUCCUCUCUUAUCAACGAAUUCAGCAAUGCUGUGGAGACAGAGAGGUAUACAAAUAGUGCAGAUAACUCUAAAUUACAAUGCAAAAAUAACAUAUGCAAGAAAACACUCACAAAAUUAGAGCCAAUAUUAAACCUGGCUCUGGUGUGGAUGGCCUUAGGAUUUUUUAAGGGUGAUCCAAAUCUCUCUGUGAAUGGUCUGGAUAUCCGGUCUGUAGUGUGGAAAAUUCCUCCCAGUAAUAAACUGCAGGGGAUCCAGAUAGGUAUAAAGUAAAAAGAUAUUUAUUGGAUACAGAUAAAAUAAAAAAUGUAAAUAAAAUCUAUGAGAUAAGUAAAAUGCUGCCAAAACCGUUUCGCCUAACGUUGCUUCCUCAGUUGGCUAAAUCCUUGUUUGUAAGUCCAUACAGUUCUUUAAAUGCUGUGUAUAAUCCAAAUUUGUGGUCUUUCAAGGGGAACGCAGCUUGCGUUCCAUUCCUCCGUCGGCGUUUCACUUCCUGGUUCCGGUCACAUGGAGCCUUAGCAUUACUGGAACCAGGGCCGUCUUUAACGCGGGGCAAACGGGGCAGCGGCCCCGGGCCCAGUUUCUCUUGGGGGGCCCGAGGCACCUGCCCCGUGGGCCCCGCUGCCCUCAUCAAUUAAUUUUUUUCCCGUCCCACCGGGUGGCCCAUGCACUUAGGGCAGUGACGUACAUACCAGGGUCACGGCUGCGACCCUGGUAUGUAGCCACAGGGCCAGCCUCUUCCCCUGGGGGGGCCCAGGAGGCGGCCACCCCAGGGCCCCCCGAGGCUGGCCCUGCUGACCCCGACCGGCCACCCGCCCAGGAGCCCAGCACCACCACUGGACCCCAGGGAAUAAUCCUCCCCAGCACUCCAAGAGGUAAGGAGGCUGGGGGGAUUACAUUUUUUUUUUUUUAAAUGUGUGUUUGUGUGUGUUAGUGUAUGUGUUUGUGUGCUAGUGUAUGUGUGUUUGUGUGUGUUAGUGUAUGUGUGUGUUUGUGUGUGUAUGUGUGUGUUAGUGUAUGUAUGUGUGUGUUAGUGUAUGUAUGUGUGUGUUUGUGUGUGUUAGUGUAUGUGUUUGUGUGUUAGUGUAUGUGUGUGUUUGUGUGCUAGUGUAUGUGUGUUUGUGUGUGUUAGUGUAUGUGUUUGUGUUAGUGUAUGUGUGUGUUUGUGUGUGUUUAUGUGUGUGUUAGUGUAUGUAUGUGUGUGUUUGUGUGUGUUAGUGUAUGUGUUUGUGUGUUUAUGUGUGUUAGUGUGUGUUAGUGUGUGUGUUUGUGUGUGUUAGUGUGUGUGUUUGUGUGUUAGUGUAUGUGUGUGUUUGUGUGUUAGUGUAUGUGUGUGUUAGUGUAUGUGUGUGUUAGUGUAUGUGUGUGUGUGUGUCAGUAUGUCUGUGUGUGUGUCAGUAUAUAUGUGUGUGUAUAUCUGUGUGUGUCAGUAUGUGUAUGUGUCAGUAUGUCUGUCAGUGCGUCAGUAUGUCUGUUAGUGCAUGUGUAUGCGUGUGUCAGUAUAUCUGUCUGUGUGCCAGUAUGUCUGUGUGUGUGUGUCAGUAUGUCAGUCUGUGUGUGUCAGUGUAUGUGCCUGUGUGUGUGUGUCAGUAUUUCUCAGUGUGUGGGUGUCAGUAUUUCUGUCAGUGUAUGUGUGUCAGUAUGUUGAUCAGUGUAUGUGUCUGUGUGUGUGUGUGUGUCACUAUGUCGGUAUAGGUGUCUGUGUGUCAGUAUGUCUGUAUAUGUGCCUGUGUCAGUAUGUCUGUCAGUACGUCUACCAGUGUAUGUGUCUGUGUGUGUGUCAGUGUAGUGUGCCUGUUUAUCUGUAUGUAGUCAGUGUAUGUAUCUGUGUAUCUGCUUGUGCGUCAGAGUGUGUACCUGUGCAUCUGAGCCGCAACUUUAAAUACAAAUACACCCCUCCAUUCAAACUUCAACACUACAUAUAAAACACACUCCUGCAUUGAAACGUCAACACUACAUACAAGCACACUCCUACAUUCAAAAACAAACACUACACAUAAAUGCACACUUGCAUUCAAACUCCAGUACCACAUACAAACACAUUCACACAAACAUACUCCAUACAAACACAUGCUUACAUUCAAACAUACUAACAUGGCUCAGUGCUAAAUACAACCCUGCAAGCAUGGGAAAUUGGUAGAGUCCCAGCUGUCAAAGCAUUGUUGGAGUUGCACGACAGAUGGGGUUCUACCUUUAGUCCAACCUUGCAAUUGGGGGUCCCAAUAAAAUUAAUUCUACUUUAGUACCGCCACUGCGUUGGGAUGGAUGCCGUGAUUGCAUACCAGGGAGUGAGGGGCGAGAGCGGCAGGGCCCAGGGGGCCCAAGCAAACACUUGCCCAGGGUCCAUUCGUUAUUAAAGACGGCCCUGACUGGAACGCAUAACACUUCCUGGUUUCGAUCUCCUGCAUCGUGCGUUCCAUUAGAGUGACGGCCCACCUCCAAUUUCAUCAUCUGUGCACUCUGUGUGUGUGGAACGCACUUUGCGUUCCACCAAAUUUGGAAUCCUUGGUCAGUCUCUUAGUUAAUGUAAUAAAAACAGUCUCUAUAAACACUAUACUCCUAUAUAUUAUGUAGUCCAACAAAAUAAUACAUAUUCUUGACAUGAAGUAUACAUUGAUAUUAGCUGAUAUAAUUGGAGAGAUAGAUAAAUGAAAGAUAAAUUGAUUAUAUCAAUAAAACCAUCAUUUUACAUCUUGCAAUAACACUAUAGCUACAUAAUAUAGUUCUUUAUAUAUAAUUGCAAAGUUCUUUUAUCCUUGAGUGCAAAUUUUUAAAGUGACAGUGCAAACUUAAUUUAAAUAUUUCUAAGUUGUGUGCUAUUUAGUAGUGAAUCCAUUUCUAUAGUUUUAUGUGGACUCCCAAUAUCAUCCCACUUCACACAAAAUUCUAAAAGUGAGGUAGUAAACCCAGACAGAUAUUAUUUAAAGUGACACGUUGCCUUAUUCGAUAUUCUUAUUAAAUAGUAUAGCAGCACCUUUUUAUAAAUACAGAGAGGGAGGGGAGGGGAUUUGAGAGAAUAUAUAAAUAAGAAUAAAUAACAAGGGGUUAAAACGACUAUAAAAAUAUAAAUAUUAAUAUAAAAAAUGACACAACUCAAAAUCUUGAUUAAGAUCAUGUGGGAUCAAUGUUCUAAAAUUGAAGGGGAUCCAGAUAGGAGGAAGAGGAGGAGGAAGAGGGGUAAUUUCCACGGUUAUCAGGCCAGUCAUUUACAAGUGGCUCAGAGGGUGGGUUCCUGCACCAGCAUAGGCCAGGUACACAAUUGUCCAGCAUCUCCACACUGUCCCAUGGAAGCGUUUAGCUGUCCAUCUCCCAAACACUGGAGAGAAAGAGGAAGUACCCCCCUAGCCACCCGCGAUCCCUGGCCCUGAAUGCUGGUGUCCGCUCAACUCUACUUGUGAUAUGAUUUUAUCAUCCAUUUCAGUAGAUAAAAUAUAAUGCAUUUAAAAAUAUAUGUACAAAUACAUAUGUGUGUAUAUAUAUAUAUUUUUAUUUAUUUUUUUUUUUUUAUAUAUAAAAUAUAAUAAUAUCUGUAGUUUUUUUUCCUUUUUUUUGCAGAUUUGCCAAUUACUCUGAACUAUUUUCUGGAUUUGCGUAAGCUGGAAUAGCUCAGUCAAUCCCUGGCUUUCCAUUU
rnacentral:lncRNA from 1 species